GGUGGACCAGCAGCGACGGAGGAGGGAGAGGAUGAGACGAGAGCGAGGAGAUGUUGUUGUGACAUUGUGUAGUUCUCUUUUCAGUAAGUGCUACUGUAGGUGUUAAUUGUUGUUAUCUUGCUAGGGAGGGAGCGCAGGAGAUGAGGGUGAAUAAUCUAGCGUUCUGCCGGCGACGGCUUCAGGAUUUUAUCAUCAGCAUGAACCAAGAGGCACAUAAUUAUUGUAGCAAAGCCCACAUUCAGAGAGAGAUAGUUGGUGAUGGAUCAGGAGCAAAGCUUGGCGGUGGAGCGUGACGCUCUGCUCCGGGAGGACUUCAUCGUCUUUGCCCUCAUCAAGCAGCGGCCUACGCUCCCGCUGCCAAAGCUGUCGGUGGCCGGUCCCAUGUGGAAAUGUUCUUUCACAUGACAAAACUUGUGGUUAUCAAAGCUCUGGACAUCUACAGAAGAACAAGGAAUCUGGAAGGCAUUGGGAGAACCAGGAAACUAAUGAUCUCUAGAACAUCAGAUAAAAAGCCUAUCUGAUUUCUAUAAUAUCUGUCAGUUUUAAACUCAGUAGGAGCUACCAAUUUCCAGUUCUAAGGAUCCCAUCGUUUCGUUUAUUCAUGGAAUAAGCCAAACGGCAUAUUUGCAAACGAAAAGUAAUUUGUGAAUAAAACUUUUAUAUACGUGUUCUUAGCGAUCUAAAAACAAAGGCUGAAAAAUAAACUUUGAUGAAAAAAACCUAAAAAUCAACUACAAAAUUUAGUUGAAAAUUUAAAAUUUGGCUGAUAAGUAUAAGCAUAAGCGAAAAGAUGAGGCCCUAAGAUAGGUAAUUAUCUUUACCUUAUCCUGUAAUUGUUUACUUUUCACCGCUGACAAUUUUGAUGCCACAUAAACACAUACUUUUCUAUCUAUUGUCAACUUGAAAGACUAGGCUGAUCUAUAAUAUUUCCUAUAUUAUUAGUUGGUAACCUGGAGCUGUUGUCAUAGACGAUGGAGGAGAAUGGGGUCCUGAAGGGGUACAUCAAUGUCAACCAAUAAAUCAAAGACAACCAUUGGCCAGUGUAAGUUGUUUUCAUGGCAAAAUUUUGGGGCAUUUACUAAUUUGUGAAGGUUUUCAAACAUAAGUUUAUUGUAUACUAAAUUUCUAGAUUUCAUUUUGAGAAUUGUGUACUCAGUAUUUCAAUAGGAGUUUACUAAAUGGAAAAAGAGAAAUUAAUCUACAGAAAGAGUAUGUGAUUAUAAUGAAUAGUUCUUUUACCCUCCCAAUAAUAUUUUGGUUUAUUUUUAAUUUACCAAUGUUAGAAUUAUUAAACGCAUGCAAUAGUUCUGGACAUUGAACACAUUUAGGGUCUGUUUGGUUGCUUGUAUCUACCUAGCCUAGCCCAUCUCUCUCAUCCAGGCUGAGUUGGUCCUGGCUAAGAGGAUACACGUGCAGCUGUUUUGUUGUCUGCAUCAAUCUAACCUGGCUAGAAUGAGAUACUGUUUGGUUGAUUGCAUGAGAGAUACGGUUCGGAAGAGAUUUUGUUUGGUUGGUGGUAUGAAUCAUAGGUAUGAUGAUAUCUUUUUCUUUAUGGUGAGAUUACCGCUUAGAAGACAUGGAAUAAUUCUACUACUUCAGAGUUUAGUCAACUGAACUUUUCUUUUUCUAUAUCAAUCUUUCUAUCCCUAUUAUUACUUUAAAAUUCUAUAGUGGUGGCGGUGACUCCAACUCUGAAAGACACGUGUUCUAUAACCGUUGGAUCGGGAGAUCGGACGGCCCUGAGAUAUAACUUCGCGAUCCGCUUUUCUGGCUUUUCUCCCCCCGCGAUUCACUUUCCUUCCCCGAACCGCUCGCGCUUGCUUUCCUUCCGCCGACGCCUCCCACCUCUUCCUCCGCCGCGCCUCCACAGCCGGCGCCCCCAUCGCCGCGCAGUCCUCCUCUUCGCCGCACCUCCCUCCUCUUCGCCGCGCCUCCACCGCCGGCAACACCGCCGCGCCUCCAAUCUCCGGUUCGCCACCAAUACGGAGUCGCUUGGUCCCCGCCUCGCCGGUCUCCUCCGACAACACCGCGCGCGCCGCCGAAACACCCACGACCGCGCCACCACCGAUCCGGAGUCGCAUCGCGCCGGAUCCCCGCACCGCACGCAUCGCGCAUCCAUCACCUCGCUACCCUCGCUCAAGCUCCAUCGCACGCCGCCCUUCUCCGCCCGCGCACCGCCUCCUACACGCUCUCCUUCCUCUUCUCCCCAUUGCUCGCCUCUCCAAUGCCCGCUCGCACCGCGCAGCCGCAUCCAUCCUCCACGCUUCAUCUGCCGCACGCGCCCCAUUCCGUCCGCUGAGCUUCACGCCUCCCUACCCCUCAGCAGUCAGCACCUUUAUCUCUCCCCCUCAGCCCUAAUUUAUCUGAUCCACGAAGGUCUCUCCUCCAAUCCAGUCGAAAGAGGUAGGAACCGAACCGCCGCCACCUCCAGUUUGCUGUGCCACGAUCUGCCGCCCAGAUGUCCUCUCCGCCCCAGGUGUCCUCGCCGUCAACUCCACCUUUUCGCAAUCGCACCGCAACUCCACAACUUUUUCUUCUUUGGUAGCUUUUGGUUUUGCAGGGUGAAUUGUAGCAAAUUAAUGAGGUUCUUGAUCAUGGCGGCCGUCCGGUGGGUGGUUCUUGCAUACAUCGUCGUCGUCAGCUGCGACGACAGUGAGCAUGUGCUGUUGAGGAUUGCCAUCGAGAGGGUUGCUGUUGUUGAUUCAGCUAGCGUUGGUGUUCACUAAUGUUUCUUGGCUUGAAGGGUCCAGUACUGAUUGGGUGGUGGUUGAGUUCUUCCAUCUGAAACCCUCGAUGACGAUUAGCUUUAGGAUUUUGGUCAGCUGCAAGCUUGUGCUAAUUUACAUACAUGAUACAUCUCACCUAUAAUUGCAUACUAGCUAGGACUACGUAUGGAACAAGUAGAUGGUAGUACCUGAACAUUUCUAGCUCUGAAAUAUGCCAGCCUGAAUAUUAUGGAGACCUCCCACCCUGUCUGUGUACAACACCUGUGAAGUUCCAGGUUGCAAGUUUCAAAUGAUGCCUAUAAAAGAAGUGGCAAGGGGCAAGGGCUCCUUGAUGCUGCAAUUACUGAACAAGAGAGAAUAGUUCAUAUUUGCACUCUUUUUAGGAGGUAUUUCUGCUGUAGGAUUUCAGUAUAUUAUCUCACAUUUUUCACAAUUUUUGAAAGUGGCUUUUCCUGACAAUUUUUCACACUUUUAGCAUCCAAAACUGAUUGUUGUCUCAAACAAAGUAUCCUUUGAGAAUCCAAAGGCACCCGUCUACUCUCCGUUACAGCAAAGGAGAUCCUAGAAUGAAGUGAGCCCAAUCUCCUUUCUUAUUUACCAAUGGAAGUGGACAUGUUAAUUGUUUAAAUCGGUCAUUUAGCUCACGUUUUACUUGUUCAGGCAGAAAUAGAUGGUCCUGACAUGUAUGGAAACUAUGAGCUAUUUCUGCAUGAACAAGUCAAACAUGAGCUAAAGGAGUGAACUAAGCAAUUAAUUCUUUUAGGUAACACAUAUAUCUGUUUGGGAAACAAAGAAAUACUCAGUUCAGUGCCAAAGCAAAUACAAGUCCAUAUCAAAGUUAUCAUACUGCCAGAGGUCUAAAGAUGAAACCUUUUUUUCCUAACAAAUUAGAAAAUAGAGCAUAUGAUGUCCAGAAAUACCUGCAAAUGUGAUCAACAAAAUGUCGUCUUCUUUGUAGAACUUAAAAUUUUGGAAGCUUUUAAUCAAAACCUGGGACGUCUGACCUUCAUUUUUUUUUAACAAAGUCUGACCUUCAUUCCAAAAUAAAAUAAAAUAAAAUCGGUGCUCUUCAACCAUGUUGGCAACAUAGCUCAAUGUGGAUUGUUAGGGAUGAUUAUUCUUUCCUAAUUAUUAGUUUGGUGAGAUUUGAGAUUUCUAAUUAUUCUUAACAAUCAUUACUUCUUGCGUAUUACAGAUCUUUUAUGUGUUUUAGGCGGAUAUCGAUCUGCCAAGGUGAGAAAGCAAAUUGCCUAGGCUUAUUUCAUUGGACAAUACACAUUGUCUUAAUUUUGAGAAAGCAACCUGUUUUCUUGAUUAUAUCUCUGAAUCUGAAAAACUCUCAUUGGGUACUGUUUCCUUUAUAAUGCUACAAUGGAAUGGCAAUCUUACUUAUUGGAUAUUGGAUUCCUUGCCUCACUGAAAUUCAAAGAACCGUUGCUGCUUGUGACUGUAGUUAGACCUUUUUUUUUUUGGAGAAUAUUGAUAAAGGAUUUGAAGGUAUGUUUUCAGAACAUUAUUUACUUGCAUGAUUUUUCAUGUAGAGAUCAACUGUGAUCCACUGUUAUAGAAACAUAAUGUGUUGAUUACCAGUCUGUUAACUCUAGGUACAUAUGGAGUUAUUGUCCUGGACAUGGACAAUUAGGUUAGUACAAUCAAACAAUAAUUAGUCAUGUAUAUUUCUAUGCUAAAAAGGCCGAAAUUAUAUUAUAUUCGCUCUCUGUUCAUGUCUAUUUGUUAUAUAUUGCUGCUUGUACUCUAAAAAACUGUCACCUACCAAACAACUUUUCUAUUUGCUACUAUUUCAAAUCCAAUAAUUGUGCUAUAUCUGCUAUAUAAACUCUCUGGACUUUGUGCCAUGGUUGCUUCCUAAUUCAAAUUUAUAUGUUAUCUACGCCAAAUGACCAAUAUACUUGUCAAGAAUAAAUAGGCCAUUUUCUAAUAUGAGAUGUGUUGUUUUAGGGGUAACUUACCAAUGUGCUAGCAUAACUAGCUGAAGCACACUUAGAUUUAGCCAGUGAAAAAACUUGGCCAGCAAUUACAUAACUUCUUUAGUUUGAGAGAAUACUUGUUGUUUCAGCUCUCGAGUGUUCCCUGGCAUAUCUUGAGAGGGGGAGAGCAGCUAAAAAGGAGCUGCUUUGGAAGCUGCUGUGUCAUCAUAGAAUUAUUGUUGAAUUGAAGGCAAAAGAGGAUGUUGCAAGGGUCUUGAUUUGGAUGGACAUCUGAGAUACACUUCAAAUCCAACUUGAUGGAAAAUAUACAGUUCCUCAACACUACUCAGGAGAGAUUCUGGCUUGAUGCCAAUGGGUUGGAUAGGAGGAAAGGACAUAAAAACCCAUUGCUAAAUCUGCUUGUUCAGCUAUAUGUGAAGUGUUGGCACUGCCUAUUUGAAAUAUAAAGGAAUUGGUUUUGUUGUCGAAAUGGGUCAACCUAGACUUAAGUUUUUCUUUAACAUGCCUUGGUAGUUAGUUUCUGAAGUUUGAAAGAAGAUUAGCAUCAGGAUUACUGUUGAUUUGUAUGUUCAACAAUCUCAAUGAACAAUUCCAAAUUGCAAUUAACCUAUUCUUGCUGUAUUAACCACUAUA